CAAGAUCUGCUGGAUGAAGCUAUUACCUCCCAGGGAGGCCGCACCCCACUCUGGGCUAGGGAGUGGGGGGUCUGUAGUUCCUUACUUUGUGCUUCUCCAUGACUGAGCACUCACCCUACCAGAGCACUUUCACCGUCCUCCGAGAAUGCCUCGUCAUUGCACAGAACUUCCUGAAGCACCUAGUGUGGGCCGGGGAAGCUGUGAGGCCCUGAGGCUAUGCACCCUCUGCGAGCAGCCUGGUGGGGAAGAGUGGCCCUGACAGUGACCACCGUGCUGGGAAUUACUGGGUUAUGGAUCUGCCUUGAGAGUCUUCUCCCGACAGUGAACAGGUGUUACAUACAUCCUCACGUCCCCCACACAGUGACCUUCAGAGGGCUGGUUAGCUAACAGACCACUAGGCAGAAAGAACAGGAACGUCCUAAGAAGAAACUGAAAAGAUCUACAAACCUACAAAACAGUCCUCAAUACUCAAUCUCACCACUGGGGGCAAUGCUCAGGGAGGCCACCGAGAGUCACUGCCCAUCCCCCGACAGGCACCUGAACCGUCAAACCAGACCCGGUGGAGCAUGUGCAGAGCAGCUCCAGAUUGCCACAGGAAACCAGGUUACCGUGACGCAGGAAGGCGUGAACAUACACACCCUACAAUUCAGCAAUUCCCCUUCCAGACCUGGGUACGCGUACGCGGGGUUCACUGUUACUUUACUCGUGACAGCUCCCAGCCUGGAAGCAUCCCGAAUGCCCAAGAAAAGUAACAUGGAUGACGGGUGGCCCAUGCCAAUGAUGGGAUACUGGGCAGAUGUGAAAGAACUGUAACCACGUGCACUGAGCUGAGGAAUGAUCGCAACAGGACAGCGACGGACGAAGUCACACACAUCACCCUGUCUGGUUCCAGGUGCAUGAAGUCCCAAACCAGGCCGAGCUGCAGCAGGCGCUGCAUGAAAGCCAGGACGGGCUCCCCUCUGGGAGGAAGGAGGGUGUUCUGACGGGGACGGGAUAUUCCAGUGCGGGCGCUGCUCUAGAGCUUGACGUGGGUGGCGGCGACGGUGACUGGCUGCUUUCCCACGGUUCGCAAAGUGACACGCUUGCGCUUUAUGCACAUUUCUGCACGGAGGUGCUACACGUCACAACCUGAAAACGUUCAGAACAACCACAAACCCUCCCCACCGUCCUUCCAGCCUGUCUCCCUUUCCAGGAAAUCCAUACUAAGCAAUUUACAGAGCUGCGAAGCAUGCAUGUGCUGCCUGCCUUUUUGGUUGUCGUUUCUCUUCAGUUCUGGGUUUUUGAUUUCACGGAAACAGCUACUGCCAUAGCAACAGAAUCGCAACCUUCUCGGGGUCUUCCCACAAGAGCCCCACUUGCUCUGAUAACCCAUAAGGCUUUCUGCGCACAGACCGGUGACUUGCCCAGCGGUGAGGAGUGCUCUGCACUUGUAUUUAUGCUGACGGCUGGUGUUCAUGACUAGACUGGCUCUUGAAGUUACAGUAAGGACCCAGCCUGCGAGUGGAUGGACUCGGUCCCAGCUUCCUGCAGGACGAAUGUCCCCAUCUCCAUGGUCUACAGGAGGCAGAGGGACGGGUACAGCCCUGUGCACGGCAGGCUUGCCUCUUCCCCGCAGCUCUGCACUGUUUCCUGGGUGUCUACAGUGUUAUUGCCAAAGGGAAUGAAAAAGGCUUUGCUAUUCCUAACGCAUGUCUUUAGAAGCUUUUCCUUCAGUACUGACGGUUUCCCAAACGUCCCCAACCACACUGAGGAGAAGGCAAGUGCAGAGAGGUCUGAAGAGGCCGACCUUGGAGACGGGAGUGACGCUGCCACAAGAAGGAUACACCAACCCUGCAUGUGACGGUGGAACAGUUCUGCAUGCCAACGAGAGUCAAACUGAAUAACAGUUCACUGCAAAUUCUAAUGAGGUUAGAG